GGGGGUGCAUGGUUUCGACUUCGGUCGUCGAGAUGGGAGAAGCGAGCCGUGGUCUCCGGAACCACGUAAAAGAGCCGGAAAACAAAUACAAACGCCAAUUCAGACAUGGCUCUCGCUGCCUAAACAGCAGUGAGCGUUCCCCCGGUCUCGGCCCUGCGGGCCGGUCAGGAGCGUCAUCCAGCGGGGCUCACCCGGCGGGCCGCGUCAGCGGGCCGGCCGGGGACAACGCACAGCUGACUGGGGCGGUCGCACGCUGCUGGCGACGAGCGGCCGCUCGAGACCCUUCGCC
rnacentral:tmRNA from 1 species